CUGCCCCGAUUUCCUGCCGCGGAGAUCGCCGUUUCCGCUGUCGCCGGUCUCAUCGGAGUAUCUCCAGUCGAAGAAAUCCAAUCGAAUCACCGCAGUUCAAUUUCUUCACUCAUUGUUUCACCGUUCUCAUCGGAGACACUCCAGUCAAAAAAAUUCAAUCAAUUCAUUGAGUUUUGAUUUCUUCACUCAUUGUUUCUCCAUGUGGAUUGAGUUUAGAGGUCUAGGGAUUCACAAUUUAGGAUAUUUAUAUUACAAUCGAAGCUAGAAAUUGCAAACCGUAGGAAUUGUGCUCUGCUUGUUCUAUAUUGGUUUUCUUCCUUUUAUUUUCAAUUAAGUGCAUGUCUGCUAGUUGAAGAGCUGUGCAUUUUAAAAAUCAUGUAGUAAUUCUCAAUUUUACAUCUGCAAUCAUCACUAGAAAACCAAGCGGAAAUACUUGAAUUGUCUUCUCUAUAUGCCUGGAUUGAUAAACAUAGAUUAAGAAGCUUAUCUGGAAUUCAAGCUCGAUCUGUAAUCUAUUCGACUGCUGAUUAUGACUGGUUUGAUCAAUGUUUAAGAUUGACUCCUAAAUUAUCCAGAAUUUGAGUAUUUUUUUUAUGAUAUGAGUUUUCUCUCUGAUUGUUAGGUUUCAUUUUGGACUCAAUAAACUGUUGCAGUGUCAGCAUGGUUGUAAGUUAAAGAGGCAUUAUAUGAUAUUAAAUGCAUGAAACUAUUACCACUAUACCUAUUUCCAAACUAGAUAAUCUUGUGGCAAUCUUUUGAUUUUAGGAUUAAGAGUAGUCUUAGAUGGUCUAGUAUGACGCCUGAGUUGAGUUUUCCUAACCAAAUUGCACUGAAAAGGUGGUUCAGAUCUUCAUAUACUAGAUGCAGAUGUUAUUUCUGAAUUAGUUUAAGAUGGUCUGGAAUCUUGUCAGAAUGUUGUUGAGGUGGAAGGCUGCUUGAUAUCGUCGAUUGGGCCGGGCCUGCUUGUCCUCGUCGGGCUUCAUGAGGCUGAUGUUGAAUCUGACGCUGAAUACAUAUGUCUCAAAGUGCUGAAUAUGAGAUUGUUUCCAAACGGAAAAACUGGGAAAGCUUGGGACCAAAAUGCAAUGUUUUACCAAGAAAAAGAAGGCCAUAGCUGUUGAAGAACAUGAGAUUAUUAUGCAUUUGCUUGAAGGGUGAUUUGAUGGAUCAUUGCUUUGAUGCUCAUUGACAGGGAGAAGUCUAGUAAUUUUGGGUGAAAUUUGUUUGGAGAUAACCUUUUAUUAAGUUCAACAUUAGUUAAUCA